AUGGAGAAGAAAUAAGAUGAACUGCUUGUCCCAGAAAGCGAUAGAACUUUGAAAGCAGCUAUAUAUUUCCUAGCUACCUCUAAAAAAUGGAGCUGUCUUCAUGAGACCUGUAAGAAGCCAACAGUUUUCCUCACUGCCACCAUGUGAAGAAGGAUGUGUUUGUUUCCCUUCCUUCAUGAUUAUCAAAUGGAGGUUCCCAUGAUUUUCUUUUUCCUCAUGGAAACAUGUUUGGUCAGAAGGGAAACAAACCAAUUAAGGUGAUACCAAAGGAUGAUCCUUGAUACAGUUGUAUUUUGGUGGAGCGUUGAGAUUCGCCAGUGAACUCUAACAGUGAGGAUGGCACUGGAAUAAAAAGAGAAGAAACAUGUACUAGAAGCCAAAAAA
rnacentral:lncRNA from 1 species